GUUGUGGCUCAGUGGUAACGUUCUUGCCUUGCAUGCAGGGGACACUGGGUUCAAGCCUCAGCACCACA
rnacentral:tRNA from 1 species